GUGCCAGCAGCCGCGGUAAAACCAGCACCUCAAGUGGUCAGGAGGAUUAUUGGGCCUAAAGCAUCCGUAGCCGGCUCUGUAAGUUUUCGGUUAAAUCUAUACGCUCAACGUAUGGGCUGCCGGGAAUACUGCAGAGCUAGGGAGUGGGAGAGGUAGACGGUACUCCGUAGGAAGGGGUAAAAUCCUUUGAUCUAUGGAUGACCACCUGUGGCGAAGGCGGUCUACCAGAACACGUCCGACGGUGAGGGAUGAAAGCUGGGGGAGCAAACCGGAUUAGAUACCCGGGUAGUCCCAGCUGUAAACUAUGCAAACUCAGUGAUGCAUUGGCUUGUGGCCAGUGCAGUGCCGCAGGGAAGCCGUUAAGUUUGCCGCCUGGGAAGUACGUACGCAAGUAUGAAACUUAAAGGAAUUGGCGGGGGAGCACCACAAGGGGUGAAGCCUGCGGUUCAAUUGGAGUCAACGCCAGAAAUCUUACCCGGAGAGACAGCAGAAUGAAAGGUCAAGCUGAAGACUUUACCAGACAAGCUGAGAAGUGGUGCAUGGCCGUCGCCAGCUCGUGCCGUGAGAUGUCCUGUUAAGUCAGGUAACGAGCGAGAUCCUUGCCUCUAGUUGCCACCAUUACUCUCAGGAGUAGUGGGGCGAAUUAGCGGGACUGCCGUAGUUAAUACGGAGGAAGGAGAGGGCCACGGCAGGUCAGUAUGCCCUGAAACUCUGGGGCCACACGCGGGCUGCAAUGGUAACGACAAUGGGUUCCGAAUCCGAAAGGAGGAGGUAAUCCUCAAACGUUACCACAGUUAUGACUGAGGGCUGCAACUCGCCCUCACGAAUAUGGAAUCCCUAGUAACUGCGUGUCAUUACCGCGCGGUGAAUACGUCCCUGCUCCUUGCACACACCGCCCGUCGUUUCAUUGAAGUUUGCCUUUAGCGAGGUGACGUCUUAUUGGCGUUAUCGAACUUGAGGUAAGCGACAAGGGAAAAGUCGUAACAAGGUAACC
rnacentral:rRNA from 1 species